rnacentral:rRNA from 1 species
AUAAUGGGUCAGCGACUUAUAUUCUGUAGCAAGGUUAACCGAAUAGGGGAGCCGAAGGGAAACCGAGUCUUAACUGGGCGUUAAGUUGCAGGGUAUAGACCCGAAACCCGGUGAUCUAGCCAUGGGCAGGUUGAAGGUUGGGUAACACUAACUGGAGGACCGAACCGACUAAUGUUGAAAAAUUAGCGGAUGACUUGUGGCUGGGGGUGAAAGGCCAAUCAAACCGGGAGAUAGCUGGUUCUCCCCGAAAGCUAUUUAGGUAGCGCCUCGUGAAUUCAUCUCCGGGGGUAGAGCACUGUUUCGGCAAGGGGGUCAUCCCGACUUACCAACCCGAUGCAAACUGCGAAUACCGGAGAAUGUUAUCACGGGAGACACACGGCGGGUGCUAACGUCCGUCGUGAAGAGGGAAACAACCCAGACCGCCAGCUAAGGUCCCAAAGUCAUGGUUAAGUGGGAAACGAUGUGGGAAGGCCCAGACAGCCAGGAUGUUGGCUUAGAAGCAGCCAUCAUUUAAAGAAAGCGUAAUAGCUCACUGGUCGAGUCGGCCUGCGCGGAAGAUGUAACGGGGCUAAACCAUGCACCGAAGCUGCGGCAGCGACGCUUAUGCGUUGUUGGGUAGGGGAGCGUUC